rnacentral:rRNA from 1 species
CAGCACCUCAAGUGGUCAGGAUGAUUAUUGGGCCUAAAGCAUCCGUAGCCUGCUUUGUUAGUUUUCGGUUAAAUCCAUACGCUCAACGUAUGGGCUGCCGGGAAUACUGCAAAGCUAGGGAGUGGGAGAGGUAGACGGUACUCGGUAGGAAGGGGUAAAAUCCUUUGAUCUAUUGAUGACCACCUGUGGCGAAGGCGGUCUACCAGAACACGUCCGACGGUGAGGGAUGAAACCCAGGGGAGCAAAUCGGAUUAGAUACCCGUGUAGUCC